CUUGUGAGGUAAGGUGCUAUUAGUAUUCCUAUUUUAUAAAUGAGGAAACUGUGCCCUCAAGAAAUCAAGGUUGCUAAAUGCCUUCUGGAAUAGGGGAAGUGAAUUUUCCUGAUUGUUCAAGGACAUAGGGCCUGUGGUUUAUCGGUGUGAAUAUGCCCUCCAUGGAUAUAAAUCAAAAUGACUCCACAUCUUUGUGUACUAUCUUCUUGAAGAGACAAAGCCAAGGCCUAGCCAAGUCUUCACCCAACUGACAGCCCAUACUCAAAUCCUUUUCAGCCAGGCACUGUGGUAAACAUUGGUUAUACAAAGAAAAGUCUGCUCUGAAGGAUCUCACAUUCUAAUGGAAGGGACAAGAUGGAAACAACUAUGAACAUACAAGAUAAAUACAGGAUAAAUUGGAGACAAUCUCAAAGGGAAAGCAUUAGUCUUAGAGGCAUUUGGGAAAGGCUUCUUGUAGAAGGUGGGAUUUGGGGUGAUAUUUGAAGGAAGCCAGGAGACAGAGAAAAGAAUAUGGGCAUUCUACACAUGGAGGAUAGCCAGUGAAAAGCCAUGGAGUCAGGAGAUGGAGUGUUGUAUGGGAGGAACAGUAAGGUAGACCAGCUUUGUUUGUUCUGGAGUACAAGGAGGAAAGUAAGAAGACUGGAAAGGUAGGAAGGACUAGAUAAGUUAGCAUUUUAUUUUACCAUAAUCGAAUGUGAGCUCCCUUAGAGAAGGGACUGUUUCAUUUUUUGUCUUUCAGUCUCCAAU